rnacentral:miRNA from 1 species
UGGAGAGAAAAGCAGUG